GCUCAGUUGGUAGAGCAUGGUGUUUGCAACGCCAGCAUGGUGUGUGCAACGCCAGUGUUGUGGGUUUGAUUCCCAC
rnacentral:tRNA from 1 species